CACGUAGGGUGCGAGCGUUGUCCGGAAUUAUUGGGCGUAAAGAGCUCGUAGGCGGUGUGUCGCGUCGGCCGUGAAAACCUGCAGCUUAACUGUGGGCGUGCGGUCGAUACGGGCAUCACUGGAGUUCGGCAGGGGAGACUGGAAUUCCUGGUGUAGCGGUGAAAUGCGCAGAUAUCAGGAGGAACACCGGUGGCGAAGGCGGGUCUCUGGGCCAAUACUGACGCUGAGGAGCGAAAGCGUGGGGAGCAAACAGG
rnacentral:rRNA from 1 species